UGGGGAAUAUUGGACAAUGGGCGCAAGCCUGAUCCAGCCAUGCCGCGUGAGUGAUGAAGGCCCGAGGGUUGUAAAGCUCUUUCACCGGUGAAGAUAAUGACGGUAACCGGAGAAGAAGCCCCGGCUAACUUCGUGCCAGCAGCCGCGGUAAUACGAAGGGGGCUAGCGUUGUUCGGAUUUACUGGGCGUAAAGCGCACGUAGGCGGACUAUUAAGUCAGGGGUGAAAUCCCGGGGCUCAACCCCGGAACUGCCUUUGAUACUGGUAGUCUUGAGUUCGAGAGGGGUGAGUGGAAUUCCUAGUGUAGAGGUGGAAUUCGUAGAUAUUCGGAGGAACACCAGUGGCGAAGGCGGCUCACUGGCUCGAUACUGACGCUGAGGUGCGAAAGCGUGGGGAGCAAACAGC
rnacentral:rRNA from 1 species